UAGGGAAUCUUCGGCAAUGGGGGGAACCCUGACCGAGCAACGCCGCGUGAGUGAAGAAGGUUUUCGGAUCGUAAAGCUCUGUCGUUAAGGAAGAACGAGUGUGAGAAUGGAAAGUUCAUACUGUGACGGUACUUAACCAGAAAGGGACGGCUAACUACGUGCCAGCAGCCGCGGUAAUACGUAGGUCCCGAGCGUUGUCCGGAUUUAUUGGGCGUAAAGCGAGCGCAGGCGGUUAGAUAAGUCUGAAGUUAAAGGCAGUGGCUCAACCAUUGUAGGCUUUGGAAACUGUUUAACUUGAGUGCAGAAGGGGAGAGUGGAAUUCCAUGUGUAGCGGUGAAAUGCGUAGAUAUAUGGAGGAACACCGGUGGCGAAAGCGGCUCUCUGGUCUGUAACUGACGCUGAGGCUCGAAAGCGUGGGGAGCGAACAGG
rnacentral:rRNA from 1 species